ensembl:lncRNA novel transcript
GUCAAAAUGAUGGACUGAAGAAAACAUUUACAAUUAACAUCUUAAAGGAGUAUUUUUCUCCAUAUACAUAUAUAAAAAAUCAUGUUCUGGGUGUGGUCGCUCAUUCCUAUAAUCCUAACACUUUGGGAGGCCUAGACAGGAGGAUUGAUUGAGGCUAGGAGUUUGAGACUAGCCUGGGCAACAUAAUGAGACCCCAUCUAUAAAAAAAUUAGAAAAUUAGCCAGGUGUGGUGGUGCAUGCCUGUCAUCCCAGCUACUCCAGAGGCUGAGAUGGGAGGGUGGCUUGAGCCCAGCAGUUGGAGGCUGCAGUGAGCUAUGAUUGUGCCACUUCCCUCCAGCCUGGGCAAUAGAGCAAGAUGCUGUCUCUAAGAAUAAAAUAAAAGUAAAUCCCAGCACUUUGGGAGGCCAAAGUGGGUGGAUCGCUUAAGCCCAGGAGUUCGAGAUCAGCCUGGACAAUACGGUGAGACCCUGUCUGUACCAAAAAUACAAAAAGUUAGCUGGGCAUGGUGGCCUGUAGUCCCAGCUAUCCCAGAGGUCGAGGCUGCAGUGAGCUGUGAUCGCACCACUGUAUUCCAGCCUGGAUGACAAAGCAAGACCCUGUCUCAAAAAAAAAAAGUUCACAAAUAAAAGAAGACAAAUAGGUCUUAAACAUAUGACAAGAUGUUGAGCUCACUGAAAAGCAAAUGUGAAUUAAAAUUUCACCAAGAGACUGUUUCCCACUUAGCAGUUUGGCAAAGAUAAAAAUCUGGCACCUCACGGCUGGGUGCGGUGGCUCACGCCUGUAAUCCCAGCACUUUGGGAGGCCGAGGCAGGCAGAUCACGAGGUCAGGAGGUCAAGAUCAGCCUGACCAACAUGAUGAAACCCCGUUGCUACUAAAAAUACAAAAAAAAAAUUAGCCGGGCGUGGUGACGCACAUCUGUAAUCCCAGCUACUCAGGAGGCUGAGGCAGGAGAAUCGCUUGAACCAGGGAGGCGGAGGUUGCUGCAAAGCAUGGUGAGGCCCAGGUGAAGAUCUGGAGGCACUCCUAUGAUGUCCCACCACCUCCAAUGGAGCCCAACCAUCCUUUCUAUAGCAACAUCAGUAAGGAUCGCAGGUAUGCAGACCUCACAGAAGAUCUGCUACCCUCCUGUGAGAGUCUGAAGGACACUAUUGCCAGAGCUCUGACCUUCUGGAAUGAAGAAAUAGUUCCCCAGAUCAAGGAGGGGAAACGUGUACUGAUUGCAGCCCAUGGCAACAGCCUCCGGGGCAUUGCCAAGCAUCUGGAGGGUCUCUCUGAAGAGGCUAUCAUGGAGCUGAACCUGCCGACUGGUAUUCCCAUUGUCUAUGAAUGGGACAAGAACUUGAAGCCUAUCAAGCCCAUGCAGUUUCUGGGGGAUGAAGAGAUGGUACGCAAAGCCAUGGAAGCUGUGGCUGCCCAGGGCAAGGCCAAGAAGUGAAGGCCAGCAGGGAGGAUACUGUUCCCAGGAGCACCCUCCCUGCCUGUCUUGUCCCUCUGCCCCUCCCACCUGCACAUGUCACACUGACCCCAUCUGUAGACAUCUUGAGUUGUAGCUGCAGAUGGGGACCAGUGACUCCCAUUUUCAUUUUAGCCAUUUUGUCUCCUGCACCCACUCCCUUCAUACAAUCUAGUCAGAAUAGCACUUCUAGAGCACAGGUUCUCAGUCCAAGCUGUGGAAAAGCUCCCCUUAUCCAACAGAGUUUAAAAGUAGUGACUUGGGUUUUUGCGAGUUGCUUUGUUUACUAAGGACUUGUGGGGAGGAACCAUGCUAAGCCAUGACCAAUGAGGAGAAGCAACAGAGCCUGUCUGUCCCCAGGAGCCAGUCCUCUGCUCGUCUGCAGUCAGGCCACUGCCUGAGGGCUCUAGUCAUUCCAGUGGAAGAUGAAUGUAACCUGCAUGGUGAUGUGACAACUGUUUCCUCCCUGACGCCAGAGGAGCUGGCUCUAGAAGGUUGGGAUCAAUCCUGAAUUUAGUUAUGUGUUACAUUUAAUUUAAGAAGUAUAGUAUAUAUAAAUAAUACAAAACAAUAACCCUUCUGGGGUUUCUCGUGGCGGUUGAAAUAGUCCCACAUGUAGUCAUCAGAAAAUAAGCCAUUCCUCAUACCAAUAUAGGAUCAGCUCCUUGACCUCUGAGGGGCAGGAGUGCUUCCUGGUGUGGGUAUUACAAUCCCUUCCUGCCUUGUUUCGUGACAGUGAAAUGCCUCUUGGUCCUGUCCAAGUAUGUCUUUCACUGAUUUCUGAAUCAUGUUCUACUUGCUUGGCCCUGCCACAUGGGUCCAGUGUUCAUCUGAGCAUAACUGUACUAAAUCUUUUUCCAGAUCAGUAUAAUAAAGGAGUGAUGUGAAAAAAAAAAAAAA